AAAACAGCCCUACGGGAGGCAGCAGUGGGGAAUAUUGGACAAUGGGCGCAAGCCUGAUCCAGCAAUGCCGCGUGGGUGAUGAAGGCCUUCGGGUUGUAAAGCCCUUUUGGCGGGGACGAUGAUGACGGUACCCGCCGAAUAAGCUCCGGCUAACUUCGUGCCAGCAGCCGCGGUAAUACGAAGGGAGCUAGCGUUGUUCGGAAUUACUGGGCGUAAAGGGCGCGUAGGCGGUUUCGAUAGUCAGGCGUGAAAUCCCCAGGCUCAACCUGGGAAUUGCGCUUGAUACUGCGAGACUUGAGUGAGGGAGAGGAUAGUGGAAUUCCCAGUGUAGAGGUGAAAU
rnacentral:rRNA from 1 species